rnacentral:misc_RNA from 1 species
AUUUUGUAAUGCUCAUGUAGGAAAUAUAAAAUAUUGAAAUAUUUUGACAAUUAAACGUGAAUUGUGUAAAGGAAUAAGCUAAUCAGAUGCAGAUACAUGUACAAAAAACAAAGGUAAAAACAAAGAGAGUGUCACAACAAGGCAUAGAAUCUCCAAGACUUUCUCACAUCCAGUUUCUUGAUGAUUAACAUAGUCAGACUAUCAUUAAAUAGAACAUGGAAGAAAUUAACAUUGAAGCAGGCAAUGGUUUUGUUCAUCCUUAGCUUUGUAUUUAUCAAUGAAUAUGUCGUAUACGUCAUACAAGAAUGGAGGUGGGCAAAAGUAAGGCCUUUAAGACACUCAGAGGAUGAAGUGAGAUUACUUUUGGUUGGAGACCCACAGAUCCAGGGCUACAAUGGGGAACCCCCAACCAUUAUUGGCUCAAUUACAAGAUGGGAUUCAGACAGAUAUUUGCGCAGCACAUUCAGACAGGCAAGCAACUAUGUGAAACCUGAUGCUGUCUUAUUCUUGGGUGACCUCAUUGAUGAGGGAAGCCAGGCACAAGAUGAACAUUACAGCGAAUAUGUCGAUAGAUUUAAAGAAAUAUUCAAGUCACCAACAAAUGUUGAAAAUAUAUAUGUGAGUGGAGAUAAUGACGUUGGUGGAGAAGGGGGUGAUUUUAAAACUAAAGUAAAAGUUCAAAGAUAUGAAAAAUACUUUGGAAACAGUGUAGCAGUCCAAAAAGUCAAGUUCCUUGAUUUUAUAAAGGCUGACUAUGAUUUUAUAACUAGUUGGAAUGACACAGCCGACAAAGCCAAACACCUAGUCAAGCUACUUUCUGGAAGGUUUCGUAUAAUUCUGAAUCACCAUGGAAUCCUAGAGCGCUUCAAAAGAGAGCUUUAUCCGAUUGUAAAGAUGUUCUCACCUAAUUUUAUAUUCUCUGCACACUUACAUCUGCCAACAAUUCACAUUUGCACAGACUGCACAGAAUUGGAUAAAGAGAAAUACCAGUGGGAGGGGAAUACAUUAACUGAUGUACCUGAUCAAAUCAAGUUUGACCUGAACAGUCCGAAUCUUGUUGAGAUUAUCCAACCUACAUGCAGUUACAGAAUGGGUGUUCCAGAAAUGGCAUAUGGAGUAGCAGUCAUAGAUAAAAAUGGUGCCUUGGAAUAUACAUUACUUUGGUUGCCAUCACGUUACAUUCAACUCUACCUCUAUUUGGCCUUAACAAUAUGUGUGAUCGUAGUGGUGCUUUUCAAACUCUGCAUAUCCAAAAUUUGGCCGAAUUCCAGGAAACAAACAUUUUAUGGAAGAACUCCUUAGUUCGAUGACUUGACACAUCAAGUAUCCAGCAGGUAUCCAGUAUCGUAUCAAAAAGUUAUUCAACGGAUGGAAGCUCAUGUAGAUAUGAUCUGAUGUUAUCAGUUUUCAAUGAUGUUUGUGUAUUUCAAUGCAAUUCAGAAUUUAACAUCCCAGAAAACAAUUUCCGGAUGGAAACCUCAUUAAUCAUCAUGCAGCAAUGAUUUGAAGCAACUAACUGUAUCCUUGAAAUAUGAUGUGGUUGCCAAUCAUGCCAGGAUUGUUCCUCAUAUGGUGCAUUUUUUAUUCUCAAAUGAAUGUUUAUACCUGUAUAAUGUAAAUAAUUUUACAAACAUAUCCAAAAGUUAGUAAAAUUAUACGAAGACAUUUAGUUAGUAAAUUCCAGUUUGAAAUGUUAUUCACAUACAUGGUGUAUUGACUAUUAAUUACAUUCUUCUUAAUGAUGCAUUGACUAUUAC